rnacentral:lncRNA from 1 species
UCCUGAAACAUUUGUGGAAAUUCGCCAACCGUUUCAUAAGAUAACCGAUGGGUCUUUCCUGCUAGGAGUUUUUCUAAAACAAAUAUGUUUUUUUUUUAAUUAAAUUUGUUGGAUGGGUACCACUACCCUACGGAGGUACAAGGUGUGUUUUUUUUCAGGGAGAAGGAGGGGGAGGGGCUAGGAUUUAAUUUGAAAAAAGGCAGGACGGGAGUUUUGAGUUGAAAAAAGGCAGAAUGAGUAACUUGGCCAAAAAAAUCCUAAAAUUUAACUUGCUUACUAUGUAUAAUAUAUGAUUAUCAAUCUAGAAUUGAAUGAACUUGUAUAACCCCCAGCCCCCCUUUUUCUAGACCACCCACUCCUACGUGCUUACACCUUUUAUGUCUUAUGCCAGGUUUUAGCCAGCAAUGAUAUCACA